rfam:Triticum aestivum genome assembly, contig: Triticum_aestivum_CS42_TGACv1_scaffold_501181_6BL
CUUGUACUCCGUCCGUCCCAAAAUUCUUGUCUUAGAUUUGUCUAGAUACGGAUGUAUCAAGUCACGUCUAGACAAAUCUAAGACAAGAAUUUUGGGACGGACGGAGUAUUAU